rnacentral:misc_RNA from 1 species
GAUGAAGAACGCAGCGAAAUGCGAUAAGUAAUGUGAAUUGCAGAAUUCAGUGAAUCAUCGAAUCUUUGAACGCACAUUGCGCCCGCCAGUAUUCUGGCGGGCAUGCCUGUUCGAGCGUCAUUUCAACCAUCAAGCCCCCGGGCUUGUGUUGGGGACCUGUGGCUGCCGCAGGCCCUGAAAAGCAGUGGCGGGCUCGCUGUCACACCGAGCGUAGUAGCAUACAUCUCGCUCUGGGCGUGCUGCGGGUUCCGGCCGUUAAACUACCCUUUUAACCCAAGGUUGACCUCGGAUCAGGUAGGAAGACCCGCUGAACUUAAGCAUAUCAAUAAGCGGAGGA